GACGAGCCACACAAACGUUAUUCGGAAUUACUGGGCUUAAAGGGUGCGUAGGCGGCGCGGAAAGUUGGGUGUGAAAGCCCUCGGCUCAACCGAGGAAUUGCGCCCAAAACUACCGUGCUUGAGGAAGAUAGAGGUGAGCGGAACUCAGGGUGGAGCGGUGAAAUGCGUUGAUAUCCUGAGGAACACCGGUGGCGAAGGCGGCAUCCUGGACCAACACUGACACUGAGGAGCGAAAGCCAGGGGAGCAAACGGG
rnacentral:rRNA from 1 species